rnacentral:rRNA from 1 species
CCUACGGGAGGCAGCAGUGGGGGAUAUUGCACAAUGGGGGGAACCCUGAUGCAGCGACGCCGCGUGGGUGAAGAAGCGCCUCGGCGCGUAAAGCCCUGUCAGCAGGGAAGAAAAUGACGGUACCUGAAGAAGAAGCCCCGGCUAACUACGUGCCAGCAGCCGCGGUAAUACGUAGGGGGCAGGCGUUAUCCGGAUUUACUGGGUGUAAAGGGGGCGCAGACGGGGAUGCAAGCCAGGAGGGAAAGCCCGGGGGCCAACCCCGGGACUGCUCUUGGAACUGCGUGGCUGGAGUGCAGGAGGGGCAGGCGGAAUUCCUGGUGUAGCGGUGAAAUGCUUAGAUAUCACGAAGAACUCCGAUUGCGAAGGCAGCUCACUGGACUGCAACUGACGCUGAGGCUCGAAAGUGUGGGUAUCAAACAGGAUUAGAUACCCUUGUAGUC